GAUGAACGCUGGCGGCGCGCCUAACACAUGCAAGUCGAACGAUUAAAGCACCUUCGGGUGUGUAUAAAGUGGCGAACGGCUGAGUAACACGUGGGUAACCUGCCCCUUUCAUUGGGAUAGCCACGGGAAACCGUGGAUAAUACCGAAUACUUCGAGACUUCCGCAUGGAAGACUCGAGAAAGCUCCGGCGGAGAGGGAUGGGCCCGCGGCCUGUUAGCUUGUUGGUGGGGUAACGGCCUACCAAGGCAAUGAUGGGUAGCUGGGUUGAGAGACCGACCAGCCAGAUUGGGACUGAGACACGGCCCAGACUCCUACGGGAGGCAGCAGUGGGGAAUCUUGCACAAUGGGCGAAAGCCUGAUGCAGCGACGCCGCGUGCGGGAUGAAGGCCUUCGGGUUGUAAACCGCUUUCAGCAGGGACGAGGCGAAAGUGACGGUACCUGCAGAAGAAGCCCCGGCUAACUACGUG
rnacentral:rRNA from 1 species